AACGAACGCUGGCGGCAGGCCUAACACAUGCAAGUCGAGCGGGCGUAGCAAUACGUCAGCGGCGGACGGGUGAGUAACACGUGGGAAUAUGCCUUUCGGUUUGGAACAACUCGGGGAAACCCGUGCUAAUUCCGGAUACGCCCUUAGGGGGAAAGAUUUAUCGCCGAAAGAUUAGCCCGCGUCCGAUUAGCUAGUUGGUGAGGUAACGGCCCACCAAGGCGACGAUCGGUAGCUGGUUUGAGAGAACGACCAGCCACACUGGGACUGAGACACGGCCCAGACUCCUACGGGAGGCAGCAGUGGGGAAUCUUGGACAAUGGAGGAAACUCUGAUCCAGCCAUGCCGNGUGAGUGAUGAAGGCCUUGGUUGUAAAC
rnacentral:rRNA from 1 species